rnacentral:lncRNA from 1 species
CCUUUAACAUAGUGGGGGGUGGGGUGGGGUGGACUAAGGAUACUAGCAAUAGGAACUUGCUAAGAAAAUUUAGCUGAAAUGAAAAUCAGAAAAGAUGAGUAUUAUCAUAUGCAUAUUAUUAUAUCUCUCCCCUUCAUUUACAAGGUUUUGACCCUUGUUAAUAACUGCCAUCUAUUUACGACCUAUUUAGUUCACAAGACCCUAACUUUGGCAACCAGUGUCACUGGCACUCGGGAACUCAGUGUAUAGAUUUGCUUGCACUUUUCUGUAGUUGAGACCCUGGAGAGCCUUCGGUUUCUCCUCUGGCUAGCCCAGUUUCUUAGAAGCUAAGCCUAUCAGUGUCAUUGGUAGGCUUCAUUGCAAUCAUCUUCCCUAUUGUGGGGAGGCAUCUUCCCUAUUGCACCAGUGGGGCAAUAAAGCAAAAGCAGGUUCUCCUAGACUAUCUGACCCCUUGCAGUACCAACACCAUGUGCCCUCUUUACAUGUGUUACAGUGAGUCUCUUCCACUCCAAUCCAGAUCCCCUGAGCUAAAUAUCCCUCCCCAGUCUAGGUAAGAGUUCAGUUCAAAAGAAAGGAGAUCACAGUCAGGCUGUUCAAGACCAAGCAGCGGCAGUGGACAGAGGGACAGGAAUAGACAUUUUAGAUCACCUGGUUCUGUGACUACAGUUUCUUAUACAGACAUCAGAACAAUACCUGCUUCAUUGAACUCUUGGAACAACUAAGUAUUACAACACUGGAUGUUCACAUUAUAUGUGUUCUAUUACCCUGUAGCAGCCAGGAGCCAUAAAGAGAGAGAAGCUUAUAUCUCGAGGUCAACAUACAGCUUUAUUCUUUUGUCUCCCUUCUCUGAGUUGUGACAGCAGAGGAAACACUGCAAACAUAAUUUGUGAAUCUUAUUUUCCGAUAAAUUUAAAAAGUAUACCCCAUUUUUGUGUUAGAGGAUUAUCUAUAGAAUACAAUAAGAUACCAGCUUUUAAAGUUACUCUGGAUGGGAAGGGAGAACAUGUGCUCUUUUUGAAUAAUACUUGUGGAAGAGUUGUCCUGACACAGGUGACACACUUGUAUUCAGAGGCUAACAUCUCAUAGGUCACUGUCCUGAAAGAGUGACAUAAUGUAUUCACUAUGCAUGACAGGCAUUAUGCAUCUUGGGAGACACUACAUAAGUUCAAGACAUUGCAAAUAUACAUAUGUAGAAUAAACUCUGUUCUUUUGUCUUAUGUAUAAUAAUUAAUUUAUAAUGACUAAUGUGAAGUCAUACAGGGAACAAGCUUUGCAGUGGUCAUGUCUGCUCAACAUGUUGCCGGUGGCUCUGAUGCUGCUCUGAGCAGCCUUGCAUGGCUGUCGUCUGCCUCUGACAGGCAAGAUGAUUCUCAGAGCAGAUAAGGGGAGAGUGCUCUGCACAUGGAGGACUGCUUCAUCCGCAUCAGUACUGCCUGCCUAUACCUGGAAGAUGUCUGGAGUGCUCAGUCGUGGUUGCGGCACAGCUGAAGUCAGACUUGCCAUUUGUCUGCCUUGAGGUUCAGACCUGAAGACCACCACUGGCCCAUCUCUUACACAGGCUGACCGAUUUCUCCUGGUGUUCAGAGUCUGUUUUUGUCUAGCACCAUUUGAAAUCGGUUAUGAUGUAGGGGGACGAGCACCAGCCUCAGAGCCUCGUGGUGUGUGGUCGGCAGCAGCCUGUCAUUGCCUACACAGGCAGAGCAGAGAAGGAAGAUCACAGUUUCCUGACUUCUUUAAUACAUGUGUGUGGUAGCAGAACUUAGAGAUAAUGGGUUUUAUAAUUAAAUUGUUGUAAUUUUAUCUGAUAUCCUCAGUUGCAGUUUCUUACAUGUACUACUGUUAACGAAUUGUAUAAACCAUUUUGCUGCUGAACUGUGUUUCUGUUCAUGCAUCCCGGCUUUAAUAAACAAUUUGCUAUAUUCAAUUUAUCAUGUCUGUGUUUUUAUCUAUUUUCCAUUCAUAAUUCUAUGGCAAUGAGAAGUGGGCCCUGGGAAGUUAAUUUGCUGUGCCAAUCAUAAGGAAUUGGAAGUAGGUUGCUUCAGACAAACAUUAAAAAUGAAGGUCAUUAAGACAGGAAUGAAAUUCUAAAAAUGAAAGAUUAUCAGAAACAGAAGAUUGAAGCUCUAGGCUGAGGGAUGUUACUAAAUAGGAAAACUAUUCUUGGUUCCAAGGAAACUGUGGACUCUGACUCUCCUCCUGUCAGUGUUGCUGCAGGGAACUUAACUGAAGUGUCAUGUGGCCCUUAAAGGGAAGUGGGCUAAUUUCAAUUGCAUUUGUAACAGAUGGAGUUCUACUUUCAGCUGAUGGUUUAUUUCAACCCUUGAAUAGGCGGUGAGACAAUUUUAUAAAAGUGUUCAGAGAUUUGACAGUAUUGAGGGGCAGGGUUCAUGCUUGGAGAACUUCAGGAAGAAAGCAGGUGGCCCCUUCCAUAGAAGUUGCAUAGCUAACUGAACUGUCUGCAGUAUAAUCAUUUCAAGCCAGUGGGUUUCAAUAACUGGUGGCGAAUCAGCUGCCCUGGAAGCCUUUUCUGAGCCCACAUCCCAGUAGUCUCCCCCAGAUGGCUGCCUUGCCUAUUGUGCUCAAAGUGGGAGGUGAAUGAAGCAUUCGCUGGAAAGACUUCCCAGUGACUAUGAUACAUCCUGCAGCUGCAGAGCUAUUUCAAGCUUUUGAUGGAAUGUUCUGAGUCUCGGGAUGCGGUGGUGGGAAUGGCUAAGUCCCUCAGCUGUAUUGUUUAAUUUGCCCCACUAACGUAGGAGACUGCAGCUCCUAAGUAUGACAGUUUGGGUUAUUAACUACACAUUGGUUUUUUUUUUUUUUUUUUUUUUUUAAUUUAGCUACCCUGUCCAAAGCUCCCAAUUAAUUUAUAUUGGAAAAUAUAAUUAAAAUACCCCCAGGCUAUGAUUCUAAUUCUUAAAUGAGUUAAGGGAGAAGGUAGAAUUUAUUAUCAAAGUACAAAACAAUGAUUUAAGAUUUUUUUCUAUAUAAGAAAAUUUAUAACAUCCUCACUGAAUGCUUAAACAGCCCAUAUCCUGAAGUUCGGAGGAGUAAAAUGCAACUGGAACAUCUCUCAAACACUUAUUUUUUUUUAUCUGAAUGCCAUUAACAUAAAAAUUGUCACUCUGGGGUAGUUUUUCAUAAUUGUUAAUGCAGAAUAUUUUUUGGCAAUACCCUCCUGAGUCAGACUUAUGAAUCCAUGCUGUCAACCCAGGUAGAAAGUCUCUUGUUGAAGUAUUACUAAGUUAAGCCUUACCAGAUUUUUUAGAAGUGAAUAUAGUGUACUUUUGUUAACUCCCGAGGAAGAAAAAUCUGCGGUUUAGUAGAUCAAAUAAAUUAAGUCUGAAUCCUAGUGUCUUUAAGAAGUUGGCCCAGACCUUCUGUUUGGAAGCUGGCAUAUAGUCUCAUGAAUAGCUAGCACACUGUUGUGUACAUACUUUUUAGGGAAGCCUAAGAUAGUACCUUUAAUAUGUUAUUUCUGGGGCACAUUCUAACCCAGUAGCAUGUUGCCAUAGCUUUGGUCACUGAAAGAGUGAUCUUCCGGUCCCAGCCCUUUAAGGAAGUACUAUUUAUCUGUGCUCAGAUUGGGGCUCAGAUGAGUAUAGUGUACAGCCAUUGUCCUAUUUCUGAAAAGGCCAUACUAUUUGGUCAUAGUUCUUUGCUUCCAGUUUUUAUGUCCAUGCAUAAAUUUCCUGUGACUGCAACAAAUUAGCACAGAUGUGAUGAUGUCUCAACUGAAGUCAAGGUACUGUCAGACACAAAUCCUUCAGAAAUAUGAAAGAAAAAUAGGUCUCUUGCCUUUCUUUGUCUACAAACAGGCUAUUCUUUGGCUUGUCCUCUUCAAGCUUCCAGGGUCUGCAGGAUCACACUUUGCUUCAUUGGUUACACUGUCUUCGAUGGUUAGUGUUCACCUUUUAACAAGAUCAGGAUGUGAUUAACCUUCGCAUCAGAAUUUGAGAAGCCUAUUGCUGUGGGAGCUUACAGAAGGAAUUCUUAAUGGUUGAAGCUCACCUCAAGUACAGAUUUAAUAUUUUUUGAGAUGUUGCAGGUGGAGGUAGG